AACGAACGCUGGCGGCGCGCCUAACACAUGCAAGUCGAACGAGAAUCCGGGGCAACCCGGUAGUAAAGUGGCAAACGGGUGAGGAAUACAUGGGUAACCUACCCUUGAGAAGGGAAUAACCCGCCGAAAGGUGAGCUAAUACCCUAUACGCUAUCUUUUUUUCGAAAAGGAUAGGAAAGCCGGGUCGAGGACCUGGUACUCAAGGAGGGGCUCAUGUCCUAUCAGCUUGUUGGUGGGGUAACGGCCUACCAAGGCUACGACGGGUAGCUGGUCUGAGAGGAUGAUCAGCCACACUGGCACUGAGAUACGGGCCAGACUCCUACGGGAGGCAGCAGUGAGGAAUAUUGCGCAAUGGGCGAAAGCCUGACGCAGCGA
rnacentral:rRNA from 1 species